rnacentral:misc_RNA from 1 species
GCAAACUUGGUCAUUUAGAGGAAGUACAAGUCGUAACAAGGUUUCCGUAGGUGAACCUGCGGAAGGAUCAUUAACGAAUCUGCCUUGGGGUUGCAUUUGUGUGUGACCUCAACAUUGGUGCUCUCUGGGUGACCGGAGGUGCAUAUAUACAUGUGUAUUAUCGUGAUUUUGUAUGUUGUAUAUUUCGACGUCAUGUCGAUGCUAAUUAUAAAACACUUUUAACAAUGGAUCUCUUGGCUCUUGCAUCGAUGAAGAACGCAGC